CUGGCCUGCCCAGCUCUUCUGCUCCUCCUGCGUCAGGGCAGGACCCUUCCUCCUGCACUGCAGUCAAUGAAAGCGCAGGCCACAAAAGAGAAAGCGUAGCUGCGGCCAUCGCGGACAUAAAGCAAGCCAUCCGCCGGACCAAGAACCUGCCCCUCAAGUCUGCCGCGGACCGCAACAACGUCGGCCCUGACACGCCCGUCUGGGUGCCCAGAGCCUCGAGGAGAAGUGACGGGCCGGUCCUGGGGUCCCCCAGCGACGGGCCCGUGCCGCUGUCCCCG
rnacentral:lncRNA from 1 species